UUGGCAUUAUGGGUAUAAGGUAAUAAUAACGUAAGUAUAUAUUGCACCGAGAAUACCGUCCGAGAGUACCAAAGUAUAACAAAGUAUGCGUUCUUCCUUAAUAUAACAAAGUAUGCAUUCUUCCUCCGAGAAUACCGUCCCCACCGUCACGCCAGUCACCAUAUCGUACUCGGAGCUCAAAGACAAGAACACGGACUUGUCAUUGAAGAUUGAAGAAGGCUUUGGACCUAAUGGGUUAGGAAUCUUAUCAAUCACCGAUGUUCCGGAAUAUUCUUCCUUGCGCCGAAAUCUUCUACACCUGUCACCUAGAUUAGCCAAUCUGCCGGAAGAGGUGAAGAAGGAACUCGAAGAUCCUGAUAGUAGGUACAAUUUUGGAUGGAGUCAUGGAAAAGAGAAGCUGGAAUCUGGAAAGCCAGAUACGUUAAAAGGCUCUUUUUAUGCAAAUCCAAUGUUAGAUAGGCCUACAACAGAUGAAUAUCUACUUCAAAGGUAUCCAUCAUACUGUGGAUCAAAUAUAUGGCCUAAUAGUGAAUUGCCAGAACUUGAAGUUGCCUUCAAAGCUCUUGGGAAGCUGAUCCUUGGAGUUGGGCUUAUGGUGGCAUUUCACUGUGACAGAUAUGUGUCAAAAGCAAUCAAAAUGAGUGAGGAUGAAGGCCUUGAACAAAUACUUUUUCGUUCUCGGUGUCAUAAAGGGCGUCUACUUUAUUACUUUUCCACAAAAGAGAGUAAUUCUACCGAAGAUAAUAAAGACAUGUCUUCUUGGUGUGGAUGGCAUACAGACCAUGGUUCACUUACAGGACUGACCUGUGCCAUGUUUACGAGAGAUGCUGUUGAAAUACCAUGUCCUGAUAGUGGAGCUGGCCUUUAUAUCAGGACGCGAACAGAUCAGAUUGUCAAAGUUGUCUUUGGAGAAGAUGCAAUAGCAUACCAAAUUGGCGAAACCACUGAAAUUCUGUCAAGAGGUUAUCUUUGUGCGACACCUCAUUGUGUCCGGGCACCCAAGGGAGAGGACGCUUGCAGUCUUGAUCGUUCAACAUUUGCAUUAUUUAUGCAACCUGACUGGGAUGAGAAGCUUAAUUUUCCAGAGGAGAUUCAUAUCCAUAAAGAGUUGAUUUCACCGAAUGGUGCUCUUACCUUUGGAGAGUACACAGAGAAGCUCCUCGACAAAUAUUACCACCAGAAAACAUAAACGUCAUGUAUUUUCGCUGUUCGACGAUAUACGACAACAUACUCUCUCAAAUAGUUAGUAGAUCAAAUGACAAUUUUGAAAAAAAAAAAAUGUAAAUUUCUUCAUUUGCAUGGUUGAUUUCUUGUUGGCAGGCUAUUGUUAUUUGUUUAUGACAAAUCAUAUAAAGUCGGCGGCGGUACGUUCUCUGUAAUAUAAUAUCACAACACGACAUGUCGUAUACCCAAUGCUGGGUCCGGCCGACCUACAUGCCGCUUUCGUGAUGGCCUCUCACGUCUAGAGGCGUAAAAAGAAACAGAAAAACGUGGAUAAAUAGAUAGAAGGACGAUAGUAGAUACGGACAAAAAUGCCACGAGGGAUAGUCGUAAUAUGCUACAGUAGAAGGGGCUGUGCAUGGCCCAAUUGGCAUUUCCACACGGCUUCUCUCCGCUUUCUUCAGAUCUUUUUGACCAGACUCUUGUUCCGUUGCAUGCUGAUUUACUUAAAUGCCCUUCACAUUUUAUAUGGUUACAAAAGCUUCAAUUCAAUUGUUAAAUUAUCACCAGAAUAAAUGUCGCACAAACGCAAUUAUAUAAUCUUAUACAAUACAUGUUAUUGUAUCA